rnacentral:rRNA from 1 species
UGCCAGCCGCCGCGGUAACACGGGGGGCGCAAGCGUUAUUCGGAAUUAUUGGGCGUAAAGGGCGCGCAGGCGGUCUUGUCCGUCAGGUGUGAAAGCUCGGGGCUCAACCCCGGAAGUGCACUUGAAACAGCAAGACUUGAAUACGGUAGAGGAGAGAGGAAUUCCUGGUGUAGAGGUGAAAUUCGUAGAUAUCAGGAGGAACACCUACUGCGAAGGCAGGUCUCUGGUACGUGACUGACGCUGAGACGCGAAAGCGUGGGGAGCGAACCGGAUUAGAUA